GUGGGAGCAGGGAGAUGUUUUCAGCAAUACAACUUUCUGAGACCUCAGCUCUGUGCAGUUGUUGUUUGUGUGGUUCAGCUGUUUGGGAUCUUUCCUUUGUACGUGUUUUCCUGAAUGGCAGGGCUAUCUUGAAGCAUCUCUUUGCCAGUGACCAAGGCUCCGUCUGUAUUUGGAGGCAUGGGCUGGUCUAUAAAGAAGGCAGCAGCCUUUCAGGAAGCAGUAGCUUUUCAUUGACUUCCCUGUGGAGUCACAGAAGGCAAACAAAUACCGACGCACAGAUUGUUUAAACGGUCCAUUGGGAAGCCAAGAUUCUUCCAGUGGAGAAGAGCUUUCCUAUGUGUCUUUUCUGCAUCUGAACAAGGGGCCUAGAAACAUAAUUGAAGAAAAAGUUGGGAAGAGAGGAGACAAGUU
ensembl:lncRNA